CUGCUCUCAGGGUUGCACCUGGAGAGUUUCCAGUACUCUACCAGUUUCAGCUAAGGGAGAGGGAGUCAAGCAGAGGCCUACCCAUUCCAUUCCUAGUUUGGGCAGUGGCUAGUGAGUGAAAGGCAAUCUGCUACAAGU